CCUACGGGUGGCUGCAGUGGGGAAUAUUGGACAAUGGGGGGAACCCUGAUCCAGCCAUGCCGCGUGUGUGAAGAAGGCCCUCGGGUUGUAAAGCACUUUCAGUGAGGAAGAAAGCCUGGUGGGUAAUACCCAUCAGGAAAGACAUCACUCACAGAAGAAGCACCGGCUAACUCCGUGCCAGCAGCCGCGGUAAUACGGAGGGUGCGAGCGUUAAUCGGAAUUACUGGGCGUAAAGGGCGCGUAGGUGGCUUGAUAAGCCGGUUGUGAAAGCCCCGGGCUCAACCUGGGAACGGCAUCCGGAACUGUCAAGCUAGAGUGCAGGAGAGGAAGGUAGAAUUCCCGGUGUAGCGGUGAAAUGCGUAGAGAUCGGGAGGAAUACCAGUGGCGAAGGCGGCCUUCUGGACUGACACUGACACUGAGGUGCGAAAGCGUGGGUAGCAAACAGGAUUAGAUACCCCGGUAGUC
rnacentral:rRNA from 1 species